rnacentral:rRNA from 1 species
GCUGGCGGCGUGCCUACACAUGCAAGUCGAGCGAAGCACUUUACUUUGAUUCUUCGGAUGAAGAGUUUUGUGACUGAGCGGCGGACGGGUGAGUAACGCGUGGGUAACCUGCCUCAUACAGGGGGAUAACAGUUAGAAAUGUCUGCUAAUACCGCAUAAGACCACAGCAUCGCAUGGUGCAGGGGUAAAAACUCCGGUGGUAUGAGAUGGACCCGCGUCUGAUUAGCUAGUUGGUAAGGUAACGGCUUACCAAGGCAACGAUCAGUAGCCGACCUGAGAGGGUGACCGGCCACAUUGGGACUGAGACACGGCCCAAACUCCUACGGGAGGCAGCAGUGGGGAAUAUUGCACAAUGGGGGAAACCCUGAUGCAGCGACGCCGCGUGAGCGAAGAAGUAUUUCGGUAUGUAAAGCUCUAUCAGCAGGGGAAGAAACUGACGGUACCUGACUAAGAAGCACCGGCUAAAUACGUGCCAGCAGCCGCGGUAAUACGUAUGGUGCAAGCGUUAUCCGGAUUUACUGGGUGUAAAGGGGAGCGUAGACGGAUAGGCAAGUCUGGAGUGAAAGCCCGGGGCUCAACCCCGGGACUGCUUUGGAAACUGUUUAUCUAGAGUGCUGGAGAGGUAAGUGGAAUUCCUAGUGUAGCGGUGAAAUGCGUAGAUAUUAGGAGGAACACCAGUGGGCGA